rnacentral:rRNA from 1 species
UACGGGGGGGCAAGCGUUGUUCGGAAUUACUGGGCGUAAAGGGCGCGUAGGCGGCCUGCUAAGUCGGACGUGAAAUCCCUCGGCUCAACCGGGGAACUGCGUCUGAUACUGGGUGGCUUGAAUCCGGGAGAGGGAUGCGGAAUUCCAGGUGUAGCGGUGAAAUGCGUAGAUAUCUGGAGGAACACCGGUGGCGAAGGCGGCAUCCUGGACCGGCAUUGACGCUGAGGCGCGAAAGCCAGGGGAGCAAACAGG